AUUGAACGCUGGCGGCAUGCCUUACACAUGCAAGUCGAACGGCAGCACGGGAGCAAUCCUGGUGGCGAGUGGCGAACGGGUGAGUAAUAUAUCGGAACGUGCCCAGUCGUGGGGGAUAACGUAGCGAAAGCUACGCUAAUACCGCAUACGAUCUAUGGAUGAAAGCGGGGGAUCGCAAGACCUCGCGCGAUUGGAGCGGCCGAUAUCAGAUUAGGUAGUUGGUGAGGUAAAGGGCUCACCAAGCCGACGAUCUGUAGCUGGUCUGAGAGGACGACCAGCCACACUGGGACUGAGACACGGCCCAGACUCCUACGGAGGCAGCAGUGGGGAAUAUUGGACAAUGGGCGAAAGCCUCGAUCCAGCCAUG
rnacentral:rRNA from 1 species